GUCAGGUGCUAGUUAACUGGUUGGGAAGACUCCAGACAGUAUGCAACCCAGAAGAUGAAAGUUCCUUCAAAUGGCUGGUGUCCAGAGCACUGAACAUUGCAUUAACAUGGAAGGAACUGGCCUAAGGAUUUUAUUUUUCCUGGCUAUCCUAAGAUCUUACCAAAAUGGGAUAAAGCUUCACAGACUGUGGGACAAAGGAAUUUCUCAGAGGAGUAAGCAUAUUUAAACAACUGAACUUGCCUCAGUGAGUGAAAAUAACUGGUACCACAAAGAGAUCUCUCUGGCAUCUACUCCAGAAAGAAGCAUCUCAAAGGUAGAAUUACAAAGGAAAUAAAAGAGGAUAAAGGAGGGCUUGAAGAUGGGAGCUGUGACCCAAGCACCAUUAGCAACACAGUAGCUGCUCUGAACUAAAUCUGCAUUUCUCUUAUCCUAUUAACCAGGAAGAACAGGUUAUAUUUACUGCCUGUUCCAAUUAAAGAGCAGCACAGAGAAGCAACAGCUCCAGUAGAGACUGGGGAUGAAGCCUUUGGCUUUAUCACAGACUCCCUGUGCACUUCCUGCCCUCCUCCCCACCUUCAUCCACUGCCACCCCCUACCUGGGGAGCCUCAUUUCAACACGGGCCCUGCAUCCUGGGGCUUGGCAUGGAAUGGGCAAUGUGUGUCGGGGCUCUGCUUGCGUUUCACCUUUCAUCACAGGCUCUGUCACCAGAGCAGAAAAGGUGGGGAAAAAAAAAAGCCUCUCCUUACUGAAUUGCAAACCACAAAAUGGGAGGCCAGGGAAAGGGGGUUAUCUUUAAGAGCAGUUCUUUGCCACCUGUGAUUUUGGAUGUUCAAGAAGUAGAACUGGAGAGGGCAUGACACACAGAAACAUCUCCAGUGAAGGAAAGGAACAGGAUGCAAACACCACUACGAAGUCCUAGUUCUUUUUCUUCCCCACCAGCCACAAAACAAGCUGUAAUGAGAAUUAAGAUCCUUGAAAAAGAUCACACCCUCCCAACCCGGAUGGCCCUUUCUCAUUAUUUUCAAAAUAGAAGAGAACAUGCCAGACCAUUCGAUUGGAUUCUCAAUUGCUAAAAAGCUUCACUUUCUGCGACAACUGGGCUUACUCUCCCAGGACCUCUUGUGGGGCUGAGUGCUCCUCAUUCCCUUUUCAGCAUGCCACUGGAGCUGGCAGCCACUUUCACAAACCACGUUUCUCAUAUUCCAUUACACCCAUUAUUUUGCACCUAGAGUUAAUUAAUUCCUAUUAAAGAUUACCCACUUAAAGGUGCAGUGUGUGUGUGUGGGUGUAACUGAGCUCAGUUCUUGUUCAGGCCUCUGAGGAGAUUGCACAAACGCACAGAGAGAUCAAGUGAGUAUCUCACCCUGCAAGCCAGUGGGAGAUUUAUCAGACUAACAAGGUAUCUGCAACACCUCUCAGCGCCCACCCUGCUGAGGACCUCAAGGGUUGUUCUGGUAAGGCAAAUGGAGGCAGGAUUCGGCUCAGUGCCAAAGAUCUGUGGACUGACACUAGCACACACAUUCUUCUUUUGCAGACCCUUUAAGAGCCAAGUUGGCCAUCUCACCUAUUUCCUCUCUAGUGCACCUAGAUGGUAUCAGAAACUGCACAUUUAAAAUAAAGUUUGGUAGAAAUUCCAACUCACGUUUGCAGACAUCGUUUAUUAUGAAUGGUCUGUGAUCUGGUGGGAGCCCCUAACAGAAGAAGGCUGCUGUGUCAGACUUGGACAAGCAAGCCCGUCCUGAUUACCCUAGCCUUGUUAUGUGAGAAUUUGUUAUCAUAUUUCCUCUGAAACAAAGGAACAUGGCACAUAAGCCAGACAGAGACUGGCACACAUUUCUCUCCCAGAGCUAGGGAGCCUUAUUAUCUUGGAAGGCAGCACUGCCAUCUGGGGGAUGGAAAAGCAAUAUUUCAGCCACAGUUCAGCUAUGGUAUUAGGGGGUGUGGUAUGGGGGGUGGGACACAUGACACACAGAAAAAUAAAUAGAAGCCUGUAGUAGCUCACAAUGAUUUUC